GAUGCCAGGAGGGGCAGAUGUGGAUUGACGUGGCUCUCGGCCCCCAUGGGCUGGUAUUGGGCCUCCUUGGGAGCAGCCUGAGAGUGCUCAUUCUUGGCCAAAUCUUGUGAUUCAACCUCAAUGCUUCUGGAACCCACAAGCCACCCAGCCUCACUUUCUAAAAAUAUGAUUGAGAAAGCAAGACAGAGUUUGGGACGGAGGUUUCUCCAGCGGAGCAGAGCCCUGGCAUCCUGUGGAACAUAUUGUGAGUGUUCACAGCCGAGAAAGUAAGAUGACUGGGAUGUCAUUUUCAAAGAGGAAAUGGGCCCCACCCCAACAGGGCCACCGAGGGAGAAUCGCAGGAGGCAGCUCCCCCAAAACUGGGAGAAGGUCAGGCCUGGGUUCCCCCAUACCGUCAUGGUCUUGAGUCAGAAACCAGAGAUUUGUAAACAGCAUCAAAAGCCUUCACUUCCUUCUGCAGCCUUAAAGUUUGAACUUUACAUACAUUUUAGACAUGAAAAGUACACCAAGAAAGCCACCAUGGUGAGUUUUAGGCAGAGACCCUCUUGUGAAUAAUUCGUCUAUGAUCCAAGAUGGCCAGACAAGAAUCAGGGCCCAAGCUUUUUCUCCCCAGUGUCACAUCCACGCUGUUGUCUCCUCUCCAGCUCAGACCAAAAUUCUCUGGACAUUUUCAUGGCUGAAAACCCCACCAGAACGCUGGCCCUGACAGGACCCUCUCCUCAAGUCCUGAGGACCCGGCUGCGGCCAGCCAGAAUGUAAACUACAGCUCGCAGAAGCAGCAGGCAUGGAGGAAGAGGCAGGAGAGCAAGAGCAGAAGCUCGAAACCUUCAAAGGGAGCCUGAAGAACAAGGCCAGGAGAAGCAGCGGCCAGGCCCCACCGGUUUCCUCCUUUCCCUCCUGAAUCUAGGACAGAGGCCAUUUCAGACGAGAGAGGAAAGAACAACAAAAUGAACUGCAGGAGAAGCAGCCAGAGCCUGCAAGGCCCAGCCAGAGACGGCAGAGGAGAGAACCGCAAGCCAGGAGCAAGGAGGAGACAGGUGGACUCCACUAACCAACCGACGCAGCCCAGCGGAGACAGGCGGACUCCACUGACCAACCGACGCCACCUGGAGAAAGUAAAUAUUUAACUGUCAGAAGGAAAACACUGUUUGAACAGUAGUGGCCUUAGGAAGAAGGCCCUAAUUUUUUUGAACACUGACCGGGGGCCAUUCUUUACCCAGAGCUACUAUGUCCCGCGCAAGGCAACACUGGCUGAAGCCCAGGAGGGCGGGGCAGCUGCAGACCCUCAGGAGCCUCUGCUGGCUCAGGGAGCGUGGGGAGAGUCCAGCGUGCACCAGAAGGAGGGAGGCCACCUCUCCUUGCGGCAUUAGGAGACCAGGGUCUCUGAAAGGGCGGGGACCACGGCCAGGCCAGAACCACCACAUCACCAGGCUGAAGGCUGGUUAACCUGGUGGAAUCAGCUGUCUUCAUGUUCAAACCAGCACAUGGGGCUAUUUUGCUCCAGUCACCUGGUGUGACAUGAGCCACUGAGACUCGAACACCCCUGCUCUGGAGCAAAGAAGAACCCACACCUCUGUCCUGCCUGGCAGCCUCCCCACCACUCGCCGUGGGCACGGGGUCCGUAUCCACUCGCCGGGGGCACGGGGUCCGUAUCCACUCGCCGGGGGCACGGGGUCCGUAUCCUCUCGCCGGGGGCACGGGGUCCGUAUCCUCUCGCCGGGGGCACGGGGUCCGUAUCCACUUGCUAGGGCAUGGGGUUCAUAUCCUGUCCUCUGUCUCCUCUAAGUGUCCCUUAAACUUAAGGCCAAUCCUAUGAUUUCCCUCUAAAAGCAUUCUUCCGAAUUCUACCCCAAAGAAACCAGUGACAUUUCUCAACAUCAGGCUUCCUAAUCUCUGCAGGCCGCCUGAAGAAAAAGAAGAGAUAUGUGUAUGGCCAUGCCAUUUGGAAAUAGAAGAAAAGCCUUUAACCGCCUUCUACCUUCAGCUGUUUUUGCCAAGCAGAGAAGGUCCAGAAAGCACCUUCAAAGGGGCUGGGAGCUCUGGCCCUGCCCAUCCACACAGCAAAUACAGCAAGCAGAAAUAACACGUUCACAGGGGCUGGAGGCUCCUGUCCUGCCCAUCCACACAGCAAACACAGUAACCAGAAAUAACACGUUCACAGGGGCUGGGAGCUCCGGCCCUGCCCAUCCACAUGGCAAACACAGCAACCAGAAAUAACACGUUCACAGGGGCUGGAGGCUCCUGUCCUGCCCAUCCACACAGCAAACACAGCAACCAGAAAUAACAUGUUCACAGGGGCUGGAGGCUCCUGUCCUGCCCAUCCACACAGCAAACAUAGCAACCAGAAAUAACACGUUCACAGGCUUCUCCUCCCCACUCCCAACUCAGCUGCAAAACAGCUGAUAAAAUGAGGAUGGGCUCUAUGUAAGUAAACAGUACUCGAUCUACCAGUUUACGACAUCAUCAAAGACAUGUAGAGAGAAAAUACAUACACAGGUAAUAAUAACAAUGAUAAUUCUAAUACUAUUUUGUUAGAUUAGAAGCAUUUUUCCUGGACAGAAGCAACAUCACCUGGGGUCCCAGUGGAAAGCACGGGCCAGGCGUGCUCCCUGUGACCAGGUCAGAGUGCAGAGCCCGCCUGGUGACCUCAUUUCCUUAGGGCAAUUGUACCUUCUGUCUGGAGCCAGGUCCCUCUUAAAGGUAGAAGACUGCAGAAAAUAAUUCACCAGAAGCAGGCAUGGUGCAUCCCCAGGACGGAUCCUUCACCGCACCCGAGAACCCGCAGGAUGAGGCAGCUCUGCGCAAGCACCUGACCCCCUGCAGAGCUGAGAUGGCUGCUCGGGGACUAUGUCCCCCAGCAAAGCACAGAGCUGAGCCAGCUGCUUGGGGACUAUGUCCCCCAGGAAAGCACGUCUGAGUCUUGGCUCCAGCUCCUGUGUAUGGGAUGUGAUUUGGAAAUGGUCUCCGAAGAGGGAAGCCAGUUAAAGAUGAGGCCAUCAGAGUGGCUCCUAAUCCAGGGACUGGUGUCCCUAAGAAGGAGACACUGGACAGAGACAGAAGUGCCCAGUGGGAAGGCGAGGCCAGAAUUCCCGAGAACACCUGGUGACCCAGCAGAGGUGGGAGGGAGGCCCCUGUAAGCCGAGGAAUGGCAGGGGUGUCAGGGCCACCAGAGGCUGGAGGAGGCAGGAAGGACCCUCUCUGGAGCCUUCAGAGAUGCACGGCCCCGCUAAGACCUUGAUCUCAGACCCUGGGGGGUGCAGGGCCUGGAGAGCUUUGCACUGUUCUAAGCCUGCCAGUGUGCGGGGCUCCGUUGCCAAAGCCUUGGGCACUGCACGCGCCAUCUCAGACCCUCUGGCCCCACACAGCCAGAGCUCAGCGAUGAGCCAGGCCCACAGCUCUUCCUCAGGGCCCUCGUUUUCUCUCUCUGCAAGCCUUCUCCUUUCUAAACUGUUGUUGCUAAGUCAGAAAGAGAAGAGAAGGCAUCACGUUGAAUAAUAUCCUCGAGUGAUAAAUCUGCAGUAUCUGCUGAAGGUCCACAGAUAAUGUGUUUAAUUUGACAAACCAGGGACAAGAAUGAUGAAUAAAACACUACUUGCUGAU
rnacentral:lncRNA from 10 species